rnacentral:lncRNA from 1 species
GUUUAUGGGUUUCUAUAGUACAGAUGACAGGGCAAUAGUUUACUCACAUAUUGAUUAAUGUUCUGUUUGCUUAUAAAAUUGUAAUUGAAAACAUUACUCUCAGUUUAAGAGAUUUGAAGUGCAUCAGUAAAAUCUAAAUUGGCAUAUCUAGACUGAUUAGAAUAAUAUAUAUGUCCUGCAUAAAUCAUAAUGUUGUUUAACAAGGGUAGCAUAGUCUUAGGAAUCUACUUGAGUUUUAUUUAUGCAUGAAUACCAUCCACACCCUUUGUGGAUACAUG